rnacentral:tRNA from 1 species
CGGGGCGUAGCUUAGUCCGGUAGAGCGCCUGCUUUGGGAGCAGGAGGUCCCCGGUUCGAAUCCGGGCGCCCCGA